UCUUUGAAGAGCAGACCCUAUUCUUGUAGGAUCCUGCUCCCCCUGGCCCUCAUCCAAACCCUGCUACCUUCCUCCCUGGCCCCCUAGACACACACACACACACACAUACACAUUUCCUGGAGUGGCCUCAGAGAUCCCCUGGCAGUUGGUUCCCUUAUCCUCAGCUUCCUGUUUGGGUUUCAUCGAGGUUUGGCCGUUUCAACAGCUGAACGGAGGGAGGUUGUAAGAGAGAGGAGGCUGGGAGGAUCCUCUAAAGUGAUCUGGGAAAGCACUGAAUACCCCUAGAAUGACUGAGAAAUCCUCAGCUCCUUAGGCUGCGAAGCAUCUUGAGAGAUGAUCUAGUCCAUUGUUGCUCAGGGCCAGAUCACUCCUUAGCCACUCUGAAGAGAAGAUCACAUGUUUAGCCCAGGGAUGGUGAGAUCAUCACAAAGGGAAGAAAACCGGUUCUAUCUCCUCAUCUCCCCAUGACUUCCCUCAAGCUAGUCCAGUCCAAUCUCCUCCAUAUCUGUUCUCUCCUCCCUUGCUAUGGGUCAGGUCCAUUCUUGCUUCCAGGCCCAUGCUCAGGGUGUUGCCCUGCCUGGAAUGCCCUUGUCAACUCUUCCAAAUCCUUCAAGGUCUGAUUGAAGCCCCACCUCCUUGGUGGCAUCAGCUGCCAGGUCUCUCCUAUCUUCUUCCUGGGAUUCUUACAAAGGGACCUGGAGCGCUGACGGUAUUCUUUCCAAAUGGCUAUGUAGUCAAAUUCCCUGAAGAGGAAGUUGACAGUCUGUACAGAGUCCCAGCUCUUGCAGGUUCUCUUUACCACUGAGAAGGAACGGAUUUUCCUGGAAGCCAGGCCAGGAAGAAUGUUCCUGGAAUCGAUGGCAGACCCACGAACCAGCCCAACCGCAUUGAUGACACGUUCCCCCUGAACCUCCCCAAUUGGGAUUUUGAACAACCUGAAGGUAGGGAGUGUCUCCGAGUCUAUUGCCAGACUCUCAUGGCCGGUCUCUGUGCCAUGACUUAAAAACCCAUCAAUUUGACCGAGGUCAAUUUAGUUAGACAGGGACUAGAGGAGAGUCCUGCCUCCUUUUUGGAGAGACUGAAGAAAACUUUCUGCCUAUACACCCCAAUGGACCCCCAGGUGGAAAUAAGCCAUGCCGCCAUACUCUUGGCCUUUGUUAAACAGUCAGUUCCCGACAUUUGUUGGAAGCUCCAAAAAGUCUAAGGACUGGGUGACCAGUCCCUUGGUGACUCCUAAAAGUUGCUGAGUGAGUGUUUAACACUUGCGAGACCCCGGACAAACGGGCAGAGCGCCUCCGGCAAGAGGACCUGGAAUAUAAGGCCAAACAGGAUUGCAAAAACCAGAAAGACCUCGCCAGAAUUCUGGUGGCUGGGCUAACCCAGCACCCCAUGACUCAGCUCCCUUUGGGGACCUUCUUAAAACCAUGGAGGAUACCCCCGCUCCCACUGCUUUCAUUGUAAUGAGGAGGGUCAUUGGAAGAGGCAAUGCCCCCAGUUGACUAAAGACCACCCCUCUGACCGAGACUGCAGAGACAGGUCUGGAUGGAAAGACCCUCCGGAGUCUCCCCGUUACCUCCGCUUCGACCAGCACCCGAAGGUCCUGUGGGCCCAGGAGACAGAUGACUGAGGGGCACGGAAUUCUGAGCCCGUCCCGGAGUCCUGGGUAACCUUAAAGGUGGAGGAGAAACCAGUGAACUUCCUGGUAGACACUGGUGCCCAAUUUUGAGUUCUUAAAAACCUGCCUGGGUCUCUCCCUUCCAAGAUCAGCUGGGUGCAGGGUGCCACGGGCACUAAGCACUAUAACU
ensembl:lncRNA